rnacentral:lncRNA from 1 species
CAGGCUCUCCCUCUAUCGUCCAGGCUGGAGUGCAGUGGCACCAUCACGACUGACUGCAGCCUCCUGCGCCCCGUGAUCUUCCCACCUCAGUGCCCUGAGUAACUGGGACCACAGCUUCCCAUGGGUGGCCAGCCGAAUGCAUUAUGGGAGAAAGCAGGUCUCGUGGAUAAUAUUUCUGAAGAUCGGAGCAGGUUGCCAGGUCCACGUCGGCCAUGACUGCAGCACGCUCCGGAGGCAGCAGGGGGCACCCUGGAGCUUCGCAUCCUCCUUCAGGCCCGCGGCAUCUCCCCUGGCUCCACCAUCCCCAGGUGUCUCAGGUUGGACGCACGGUAGUUCGCUAUGGCCAUUUCUGAUUAAAGACAGAACAAAUGGAUUGUCCGGAUACGGUGUCUGUGAAAGGAACCCAGCUGUGAGCCUCGGCAGGCAGGUGCGACAUUCUAAAUCCACAGGGAGGGCCCAGAAGGGACGCAAGAGGUCACCUGCCGUGCAGGGUGCGGGGGGUCUUGGAGGUGGGCAGCAGCUGUUCACCCGUGAGCGACGAGGAGCAUCAGCGCUUGAACAGCGGAAGCAGCAUUUACAGGUGAACACCAGCCCGAGAGGGCCGGGGGGCCCAAAGCUAUGGUGUCCAGAGCCUCCCAGCUCCCACUCUGGCCUCCAGUGGCCAUGGAAUUGCUAACUAUGAGGGCGCAAGCUUCUCCCAGCAAGUCAAGGGGAUGCUAUGUGCUGCGAUAACGGGUCCGGCCGCCUUGCCUUUGGCCUUCCAAGCCCCUCUCUGAGCCCCAGGACGUACCCACACCUGCCGGCCCAUGUAGGGUGGUCCCAGCCUGCGUCAGUCAGGCCACACUCCGGAGCCAGGCUUGGUGCAAACUCCCAGCUGAGCUCACCCGCUGGCUGCGGUCUGUGAUACUUCCCUGGUGGUCUCUGACGGGGCUGUAUGGCCUCCCUCUGGAACCCAGGCUGAACACUCGAGGAGCUGGAGGCAGUCGGGCAGAAUCAGCCUCUGGUUGCCAGCAUGGGGUGUCAGGCAGGGGCAAUCCAGCGGGGAGCCUGGGGAGAGAGGGCGGGGGUGAGGCACUGAUCUCAGGCUGUGGGGAGGAAUUCACACCUGCAUGGCUGAGGCUGGUGCUGCCCCCCUGAUCACCAGGAGAUCAGCCUCUCCUUCCCCAGCCUCAAUUUGCACCCCUGGCCUGUGCGGUUGGCACUGUCUCCCGUGGGGAGCCCCUGCCUGGCUCAGGGGAGACCCUGGUGCAGAGCCCACCUUUGGAGCUGCCCUGUCCUGCUGAGGCAGGAGCCACCCCUGGCCUGGCCCUGGCCCUGGCCCUGGCCCUCCGGUGAGGCUGCAGUAGCCAGGAGAAGGCCAGUCAGAAAGGCCAUCUGCCUGGCGGGUGUUUCUAGCCAGCAGGCCAGGGUAAGGAAGUUGUCAGGCGUCCUGCGGGGAUGGCCAGGGUUGCAGACAGGGGUGGCAGCCAGCUCCAUGUAGCUCUGGGACCCAGGUGUGUGGCAGGGCCAGGAGCAUGUUCUGCUGCUCUUCCAGGCCCGACUCCAGCUCAUUUCCUUGAGAGACCCUUU